rnacentral:tRNA from 1 species
UUAGUUAAAGCCAAAGAGAGGCGUAUCACUGUUAAUGAUAUAAUUGAAAAUACCUUCUAACUAAG